GUAGGUGGCAAGCGUUGUCCGGAAUUAUUGGGCGUAAAGCGCGCGCAGGCGGUUCUUUAAGUCUGAUGUGAAAGCCCACGGCUCAACCGUGGAGGGUCAUUGGAAACUGGAGAACUUGAGUACAGAAGAGGAAAGCGGAAUUCCACGUGUAGCGGUGAGAUGCGUAGAGAUGUGGAGGAACACCAGUGGCGAAGGCGGCUUUCUGGUCUGUAACUGACGCUGAGGCGCGAAAGCGUGGGGAGCAAACAGGAUUAGAUACCCUGGUAGUCCACGCCGUAAACGAUGAGUGCUAAGUGUUAGGGGGGUUUCCCCCCCCCCCCGUUUAGUGCUGCAGCUAACGCAUUAAGCACUCCGCCUGGGGAGUACGGCCGCAAGGCUG
rnacentral:rRNA from 1 species